AAGCAAAGAAACAAAAAGUAAAUGAAGUUGAAGUCAAAUCCAAGGGUGAAAAACCACAAGAUAUGAAAAAUUUUGAGACAUUGGUUGGCCUCAUGCUGAGUACAUCAAGAGCAUACCCUAUAAACUUCCCAGAGGAUGUUUUUGGUGAGAGUUUCAAGACCUUCAUGAUGAAAGAAGAUAUGGAAAUGAUAAUAUCAUCAAAAGAAGUGUCAUCCAAUUGUAUUUUAUACUACAUCUGGCAUUUGCAUAGAAAGUUGAUUGAUGCAAAGCAGGCCGAACGAUAUGUUUUUGUCAAUCCAGCAUUGGUCUCAAAAGCUGGAAUAGGAGAGAGAAGCAAGGAAAACAGGUCAAGGGUUAUUGCAGAUCGACUAAAGAAUACAAAGCAUGCUGAAUAUAUGCUUAUUCCAUACAACCUAGAGUAACCUUUUAUCCUCAAUAUCAAUAUGGUGUUUGUAAGUUAGUUUGUGAUGUUUGAAUUUGUGGAUACUAUAUUACAAUUUUCAUUUCUUUUCUUUAGUUUCCAUUGGGUGUUAGUGGCAUUGGAGAUGAAGAAAAUGAUUGCAUAUUACCUUGAUCCAAUGGCCUGUCAACCAUGUGAUGAUCUUAAGGACAUAGUUAACAUGGCAAUGAGAAUCAACCCACCGGAAAAACAGAAAACAUCAAAGAGGGAGCCAACUUGGGUGAAAGUGGUUGUAAGUACUUAUUUGUUUAGAUUAAAAUAUAUUGCUUCACCACUUAAUUUAUGAAAAAAAUUAGAAAAUGGAUGGUUAUUAAUAUGAUCAUCAAUAAGAUGCUAAAGAAGUAAGAACAUCAUUCUAGUGUUUAUUGCAAUUGUUGAUACUUUUCCCAUAGUGCCCAAGACAACCAGGUAGUGUGGAAUGUGGGUAUUACGUGAUGAGAUAUAUGAAGGAAAUCAUUGCUAAUCCAAACCAACUAACAUCA